CCACUUCAAUUGGUAUUCCAUCGGGACCACAGGUUUUACCCACUUUCAUUAAAAAAUACAUGGAUAUUGAUGUCACGUGUAUCACAAAAGGCAGAAGAAUCUGGCGGAAGAACCUAAAAACACAACAAAAUGGGCAUCACUGAAGCAAAGCAAAUGAAGAAGCAUUGGGUUUAUAGGAAACUUCAAGUAUUUAAUUUCUCUCCUCCUUCCUUCUCUCUGAUUUUUCCCAAUCUUCUUUCCUAAGGUUCACUAGCAGUCGCCCUUCUAUCACUUCACCAAUGCCCUAAGAAUAACUAAAUCUCACUCCUCUCACCCUCUCAUCUCCUGAAAAAUACAGAUCUUGUGCAUCAAAAUGUCCACCACAUCUCAUCGUAUCUAAAUAAAUCUGACCCAAAUCUCACAGUAUCAUGUAUAUCUUUCAAUGAAAUCACAAAAACAGAUAUACGAGGAAGAACGCUGCAAAUAUGAAGAAAAAGCAAAACAGAUGAAGCACAAAAAGUGUCUUUUUGGUCUGGUGGCAUGGGCAAGAACUCCAAGGAAACACAGUCAGAAACAUCAAGCAAAACGUGUAGAUAAGACAAAGAAAUAACCAGAUGAAAAGGCAGAGAGGCCAGGCUUUGUAGGCAGAGUAAACAUGGAGAGCAUAUCCAAAUCAAUAAUAAUUUUCCUGUUCCUGGCAGUGUUCCACAAAUGUAAAGAGCACAGAUAAAAGAUGAAAUGGUCAAAGGAAAAGCUUAAAAAAGCCAGGUUCUUUAAAGACAAAAAGCAUUGAGCAAAAGGGUAAAAUUGUUAUUAAAACAAAAAUCUUGUUUUCAAUUGGGGACUGUUCAUGUGAACAAUAUUGAAUUCUUCUUUAAUAUUUAAGUAUAGAAGUAUAGAUAUGAUCUUGGAAUUUGUUGCAGAAAGUAGUGUUGACAGAGAAAAGAAAAAAGCCAAAAAUUAAUUAGCUAGAAUACCUGCAAAUUUUAAUUUUUAGGUAGUUAUAAUUUUUUAGUAGCACCAUUUCCAUAUCCUCAAAGUAGUCAAGGAGGAGCAAAACUAGCAUUAAAAGACCAUCAACAUUUCUAUAAUUCUAUACUCUGUAACCAAAUUAACAAGAUGAAGGGAUCCAUUCUUGCUGUGUUUCUUCCACAAGGCAGUAUCUAAAACAAUAUAUAAAUCAUCAUCAAGAUUGAAAACUUUCAAGAGUUGGUGCAAAGACAGACUGCAAGUCACUCACAGGGAACCAGCUGAAAAGGGUUGCAAGAAGAAACCAAGAAUACCCAAAAGAAGACAAGAUCAGCCCACAAUAAAUACCCACAGAGUAAACUUGUAAAAAAUUAUUUUGUCAUAAGAAACACGCGAGUGAACAAAGAAGAACACUAAAUUUUCCAACAGUAACUAAUCUUUUGAUGUUGUAGGAUAAGAACAAACAAUUUCUAAAAACAAGACCACCUUAAACACAAGCAAACAAAUUCCACAUAUCGACAAACUAUAAGGUAAGUUAGAUAACCUGAAAAAGGCACUAACCAUGAAAAGCUAAUCUUAAUCCAUAUGAGAUCAAUUUCCAAUGUAAAGCAACUCAAAAAUCAGAUAAGCGAACAUGGAAAUAUACCUGAACAGAAAUUUCAAUAGAGAUAAAGAACACAAUGCAAUCACAACAAAUCAUUUCCCUGAAAGAAAUUACCUUUUCAAUCACAAUUGAGUAGAGAAAUGCCACUGUGUAACAAAAAAAAAUUGCCCAAUAUAUAAUCAGUCACUACAAUAAUUAUUAGAGGUAUUCAACAUUCAUCAUUACAAGUUGAAGACUUUCAUCCGGAAAAUCUGGUAUUUCCAUUUAGCAAGCAUGUUCAGUACUUUUAAUGAUUCAAACACAAUGACAACAAAAGCGCUGCCAACCAAAAGGUAAUUCUGUAUACAAAUAUUUGGAGGCUACAGCAUAGUGGUUUUUCUUUUCAUUCUCUUCUCAAAAUUUGCAAAACAUAAAGUUACAAGGCUAAAAAGAUGAAAAUUGAAUGAAUUAUCACGUGCAAAAGCUAACGAAAAAUCUGACAAUUAAGUGCAAAACUUACUUAUGCUAGAGGUACUCAGGCUCAGUAACUAAUAAGACCAGAAUGUGUCCAUAUAGUAGAAAAUAUUACUGUUGCAAAAAGAACUAAAUAAAAUUUUAUAUGGCUGAUUAUGCAUUUAAUAAAUAAUACAAAUUGUCCUUAUGCUUAGAAUAGAAUGCAUGAAAAGAAAUGUGAAUUCAGUUCCUAAUCACAAACUUA
rnacentral:misc_RNA from 1 species